AAUUGUAACCCUGUCGUGUAAUGUUGUCAUUUUAAUGUUAUAAUUAACACUUCCAUUAAAGCGGGAGGUUUGGCAUGCCACAAAACCAGGUUCAACCCACCAUUUUUUCAUAAAAUGCCCUGUACCAAGUCAGGAAAAUGGUCAUUGUUACAUCAUUGUUCGUUUCUGUGUAUGUUACAUUUCGGUGUUGUGUCUCUGUUGUGUCGUGGUUCUCUUAUACUUGAUACGUUUCCCUCAGUUUUAG
rnacentral:lncRNA from 1 species